AGAGUUUGAUCCUGGCUCAGAACGAACGCUGGCGGCGUGCUUAACACAUGCAAGUCUAACGAGAAAGCUUCCUUCGGGGAGUGAGUAAAGUGGCGCACGGGUGAGUAACACGUGGGUAACCUACCCUUCAGUUUGGGAUAACAUUUCGAAAGGGAUGCUAAUACCAAAUACGUUCAAAAAGGCUUCGGCUUUAUUGGAGAAAGAUGGCCUCUAUACUAUGCUGUCACUGAUGGAUGGGCCCGCGGACCAUUAGCUUGUUGGUAGGGUAACGGCCUACCAAGGCUUCGAUGGUUAGCUGGUCUGAGAGGAUGAUCAGCCACACUGGUACUGGAACACGGACCAGACUCCUACGGGAGGCAGCAGUGGGGAAUAUUGCGCAAUGGGGGCAACUCUGACCCAGCCAUGUCGCGUGCAGGAAGACAGUUCUAUGAAUUGUAAACUGCUUUUAUACGGGAAGAAACACAGAGACGUGUCUUUGUCUGCCUGUACCGUACGAAUAAGCAUCGGCUAACUCCGUGCCAGCAGCCGCGGUAAUACAGAGGGUGCGAGCGUUAAUCGGAAUUACUGGGCGUAAAGCGCGCGUAGGCGGUUAUUUAAGUCAGAUGUGAAAUCCCAGGGCUCAACCUUGGAACUGCAUCUGAUACUGGGUAACUAGAGUUUGGGAGAGGGAAGUAGAAUUUCAGGUGUAGCGGUGAAAUGCAUAGAGAUCUGAAGGAAUACCAGUGGCGAAGGCGACUUCCUGGCCUAAAACUGACGCUGAGGUGCGAAAGCGUGGGUAGCAAACGGGAUUAGAUACCCCGGUAGUCCACGCCGUAAACGAUGUCAACUAGUCGUUGGACCCCUUGAGGGUUUAGUGACGCAGCUAACGCAUUAAGUUUACCGCCUGGGGAGUACGGUCGCAAGACUAAAACUCAAAGGAAUUGACGGGGGCCCGCACAAGCGGU
rnacentral:rRNA from 1 species